GGGCGCAAGCGUUGUCCGGAAUUAUUGGGCGUAAAGAGCUCGUAGGCGGCUUGUCACGUCGGAUGUGAAAGCCCGGGGCUUAACUCCGGGUCUGCAUUCGAUACGGGCUGGCUAGAGUGUGGUAGGGGAGACUGGAAUUCCUGGUGUAGCGGUGAAAUGCGCAGAUAUCAGGAGGAACACCGGUGGCGAAGGCGGGUCUCUGGGCCGAUACUGACGCUGAGACGCGAAAGCGUGGGGAGCAAACAGG
rnacentral:rRNA from 1 species